rnacentral:lncRNA from 1 species
CAGCAUCAAAUUAAAGCUAAACUUUAAAUAGGUGAUGAUCAUGGAUUCUAGUUAGGUCGUAUUACAAGCACAUGCACGUCAAUCGAUCAACUGGUCUUCAACUCUUAAAUUGGUUCCAAGCCUCCUUGAUUCGAUCCUUGACCAACUCUUGAUCCAAUCGCCAUCAACUGCUUAGACCCCUGUUCAUCUCAUGCAUCGUCUUCGACUUGAUCGUUGACGUACAUCACAUCACAGAAAUACAACCAGAUGUAAAAUAAAAAUAAAAAUAAAUUACAUCUCCUUUUAGGAGGCACGCAGGCCUCUCGAAACAUCAAAUAAGAUGCAUGCAAGCAUCUGAAAAAUUACAUGACAUCGCAGAUCACAUCGCAGGUCAUUACAUUUGAUACCAAAAGGGUUUGAAUCCUAUGAUCACCACCAUAUGCAACAAUUAUAAUUUUCAG